GAUUUGGGCGGCCCGGGUGGGGGAGCCUUCGGGCUCGCCGGUUCCUGUGUUCCGGUCUGUCAACCCUGCUUUGGGCCGCCACCCGU
rfam:Rhizobacter sp. Root29 contig_26, whole genome shotgun sequence.